rnacentral:lncRNA from 1 species
GGAAGGGGCAACAGCACCGCAAAUCCUGAGUGGCUGCCCAGGAGCCCCAGAAGCCCCGGUGAGCCAUCCAUAGCCCCGCACAGCAACUCAAUUUGCCAGUUGGAUCCUAAUGCAGCAAGAAGAGUGUGUUCCGGCAGGAUUAUGAAAUGCCACGCAUUUUCAAACAAGCAUAACUUGGGCUGCCAUGCGUCAUCUGAGUGUUUGUCUGCCCAUAAUAUAAAACACAGACAGUUAUGGGUACCAGGCAGAUCAGAGCAACCCAGAAAAGGCCCUUUCAGGGAGUUGGGCCUCCAGGCUCUUGGCUGGUUGCAAAGCUGAGUCCUGGGCAUUCAGCCCAAGCCUGAACUCUUCCCCCACUGGGUCCUGCGCUCCCUGGUACCAAAGGAUUUGCUAGCUGUAAAAGCUGCAAAUAAACAUGCUGUUUGUCGAUGGGAAGUUUUGUCUUUAAAAUGAAAAAGGAGACUGCAGUCUGGAGGUGAGUGGGGCCGAGGGACUGAGGAAGGAGUUAGGCAGUUGCUCAAAGCAGGCAGCCUGGAUAGACCCCUCUCCCCUCUGCUCCUGGAGGAGCCCAGACAAUCCCCUUCUGUUAGUCAAUGCACCCACCCAGCUGAGCAGGAGGUCCAGUUACUGCCAGCAUUUAAGUGGGUGAAAGGUCACCACCAACCAGGUUUUAUUCACUCAACAAAAGCUCUUGGAGUCUGGGGUAAGACCAGGAAACAGAAGCCUCAAGCUUUGAAGCAAACAACUUCAAAGGAGACCUCCACCUUUGUCCUGGGAAUGGGGAGGAGGGGGAAGGAGAAGGUGGCAACUAAGUGCUAGAAACCCAGAAAAUGCUGAUUCAAAAAAAAUGAAAACCACACUUCUCAGGCAGUUGACACUCUCAGCUACCUUCCCUGGAAGCUGCGAGAGCUGGCAGGUUUGAACCAUCAUGCCUGCAGCAGAAUUUUAAUGUGGUCUCCACCUAUAAAUCAGCCCGUCUGGUUCUAAGAACCAUUACAGCAAAGCUAAGUGUCUACGAUUAGAGUUUAUCAUGACUCUCAAAAAGUGGCAGCUCCAACUUUAAGAACCACCAAAACAUCCAAUGUUCUUUCCACAAUAUGGCCCUUCUCUGAACUUAGAAUAAAUCAUUCUAGGUUACUUAAUAAAG